CUCUCUUUUGUUAGUACCUCGUUUGUCGAGGGCCAUUCUCCAGGACGGUCAGCUGCAGAGCAGCAGCAGGUCCUUGCCAGAGGAGCAGUGAGAGGGCGGUUUCCUCCGUGAGGACCCGCCUGGGCUCGAGGUUGCCCAGACCACAGAUGGGAGGGGCUAGUCUCCAAAAGCAACACAGGUGGUGAAAAGUUCUACUGCUUUUCUUCACCAGGGAAACUGUCAAAUAGCAAAGUUUAGAGUUACACUAUAUAAAUUUAUUAACAUUAGGUAAAAACAAACUGACAUUUGAAAGUUGAGGCUGAAGAUAGUUGAUUUUGGCUUUUAAUCGGCGUUUCAAUUUUUUUUCUUUUUUCUUUUGAGACAAGAUGAAAGCUUUGAUGAUGUGGAAUGUGGAAAUUUUUGGAAAAGGAUCUUGUCGGAAGGAAGUACACUGCUGUGUCUGCCGUAAGAAGGCCCAGUUGUGAAUGGAUGGAGAUAACGGAGCCAAAUACACACAAUGUGCCAGAGUCAGAUUCUCACUUUACACGCAGCUGCCAUUUUAGAAAAUGGCAAUUAUACUGUCAUUAUUUCAUUUUAUAAUUCUUCUAGAAUAUGUUUUAGAAAUCAAUAAUUACGAUUUUUCCUCAUCUACACUGGAAUAUUGUCCAGAUACCAAAACUCUUUGUGCCAUAGGAUGCAUUGUGCUUUAGUUCAGGAACUUUCAGGUGCAACUGACCACUAAGUAAAACUGGCUUAGUUAAGAAGGACACUUCAUUACUAUCAUAUGUCAAUAAGUCUGGAAGCAGAAAGUUCCACCAUUGUGACUCCAUGUUAGGCCUGCAGACAGGCUUCUAGCUCUUGGCUUCCCCUUUGGUUCCCUGUGGGCUCCUGUUGUCAAGUCCUGACAUUUCAUGGGACCACAGCAGAGGCAGGGAGAGUGGCAGGACCUUCCACUUUGCGCUGUCCUAUUAGAAAAGAAAAACCUUUCCUUGAAGAUCUUCCCCUUAGGUCCUCCUGCUGGAACCUGUCACCCCACUCUUAGCUACAAGGGAGGCUGUGAACCUGAGGAUCUGGGGGGUGGCUGGUGACAGGGCUCUAGGCCUAGGGAAGUCAAGGCAGUGAGAAUGGCUAUUGAGAGAUAAACGAAAGUCAGGCACACGUUGAUAGAUGAAAUUAACUUUCAAGCAAUCUCAUUUAGCCAACAUGCCUCAUCUCCCAGAGAAUUUUGUUCAGGGCUAUGAAUUAAGUAUGAUCUAGACCCAAGAACACCUUGAUAUUUUUUUCCUUUUGAAAUUCGCACAAUACAAUUCUCUGUACGAUUGGUGUGAAAUAAAUGUCCAACAGUUUACUACCCGUUGGUUUGUUUACUACUUGUUGUUUGUUACUACUGUACAGUUGGUGUGAAAUAAAUGUCUAACAGUUUA